CACUGUCUGUGUCAGUUACCAGAUUUCCUUCUUUGUCUUUGCAGGAGAAUGUGCUAGCACUAAAGCCAUCGGUUUGAGGUUUAAUUCUUUGGUAGAAUUUCCGGACAUCUUUCUGACUCCUGUACAUCUUUCGCUCACACUCACGCUUUUCCAUUUCCUUUUUCUUCUUGCGGAAGAGACGUUUCUCCUGUCUCCUUUUCUCCUGAUAUUUCUUCUUCAUCUGGUGCGUUACUACUGAUCGCAGGGUCGCUUUGUAUGCCGCAACUCUUUGUCGUACCAUGGGUUAUUUGGGGGAGGCUUUCUGUACCCAAGUACGGAUUUCGCAAAAUUCUCCAAGGAAAGGGCAAUGGAUUGUCACUGCGCCAUUAUAUCAUCGGAAGAAGGAGUUAUUCCAUUAAGCAGUUGGGUCAGUCGAGUGGAGUAUGGUGUGCCAUCUGUUGUGUUUGCAGCGUUCGUGCAGUGUCAGAUCCAUUGUCGGCGUAUUCCAAGUAGCAGCGCAGACCACAGCGGCAAAUCAGAGGCAGUUCACCAUCACCAACAUGCAGUACACUGUGGUGAGGCGAAUUCAAAGAAAUGGCGCAAAUAGCACAACUGGCAACUCUGCAAGAAGACUCAGGAGACUGAGCAGAAGGGGAUAAUGCUACUAGACCUCAACAAUGAGCUUGUUAUAAUUUGUGAUUAAUGCUUUACUUUGGAAGAAAUUGUUAGUGAUAUGAAUUGAGUGAUAAGUUGUUCAGUAAUGCUUAAGCUUAUAAAUAAAGUUAUCUUUUCGAGAA